AAGCAACCUGCACGCGCUGCGAGUUUGACAGGAGGGUUGCCAGACUGCGCGACACUAUCCCCCUUUCUAGACUGCGGUCCGUGCCUAUUCUACUCGCACCUGCAAGGCAAGUCAGUGAAACCUGAAAAUCAAUGAUGGAUGGAGCUCUUGGAAAGCAUGAUGACCAGGAGAACAGAUCACUGGCGAGUGUUUGUUCUUUGCCCCUACUAUCUUAGUGCAGUAAUGCUUCCUUUCACAGUGCUUACAGCAUGUCUUCCGGUGGCUCAUAACAUCCGAUCACAUAGGUGGAGGCAUUAACCAAAGAUUCAAGAAGGAUUUAGAAGAACGCAUGAGAAAGAAUCAAUGCAACACUAAACAUAUAUUUUUUUUAAAGAAAAUGUCUCAUUAGUUCAGUUAAUGUCAGGCUCAUUGCAGAUUAAAAUGAGCAGCUCAACAGGUCAAUUAACUAAAGUAAUGAAUGUAGUUUUAAAAAACAUCUCCAGGCAUUAGGUCUCCAAAGUCACAAAGUUCUUCAAGAUCUGCCUGAGAACUUACUUCUGCACAAAACUCUUAAGACAGUUAUGGACUCAUAUUCCAGUGUAAAUCCUAGACCUAAUGUCUGGGGCUUUAGUGUGCAGGCACACAUCCUAGUUAAUGUGCCUCUGUGCAUUCUGCUGCUGAGAUUCACUUUCGUAUUUUUGUGAGACAAACUAGAGCCCAGUGAAACGGCGGAUUAGACAAAAGCGUAGGGGGUGCUGGCAGCAGGUUGUUUAUUGCGUGCCUGUGAGUGAAUUCAAGAAGCAGCGGUGAUUACCAACAUAUGCAGCUGGGGAUCAACUGAACCAGGCCCACGGUGGCACUCGAGCUAAUUUCCAUACAUUAAUUCACUUAUGUACAUUUACUAAUUCCCAUCAGCAUGUAAUCAUAAAGUGCAUGAUGACACCAAGGAAAUGUUUCAGAGUGACUUGUGACGCAGUUGUGAGUAUGACGCUGAAAACAAAGGGUCUGACUAACAACAGAUGCAUAUAAUUAUACAACUGUUUGUACGGUUUUUUUAAUCUUCGGAACUCAAGGUUUAAGUCUCUGCCAAAGACUGAAAACAAUGCACAGGAAAGAGUAAAAUGAGAUUAUAGUGCAAGGUUGACCACUUUCCCUUGGUGUCAAACUUUAAACUACUAAAAUCAUUAAUUCAUACCAAAACUAUUGAUCGCCUGGGUAGUCUGAUAAAGAUUAUUGUCAUGCUUGUUUGACCUGCAUUGUUAUCCAAAACUACCAGAAACUAAAAAACGAGCUGAACUGUGAUGCUGACACGUUCAAUAGUAUAAGCUUAUUUUUUUCACAUGCUUAUACACUGUCCUACCAAUACCAAUACAAGAAACAAGGGGAACAUGGCCAACUUUUAAUAAAGUUAGAGCAGCCAGCUUUUUAGCUGAUUUUAUCAUCUCUAAUAGGUUUCUAUGGGAAGUUGGGAACUAUUAGAUAAACUAAAUGAAUAAAUUGGUGUUUUCACUGGACUUUUUUUUUGACUAACUAACAUAGCUAACAUGCAUACUUGGAUGCUACUGAAAAAUUGAGGCGGUAAGUUAAAGCAUAUAUAGUUUGCUGGAAAUUAAUAAAAAAAAUAUGCACAGAGUCACACAUUUGGCAUAUAAUUCACGGUGUAUGGUAUAUUUCUAUGUUCUGCCUUUUGUGAAAUAUCAAAUUGGCCCGUGGUCUAAAAGCAAGACUCAUCAAUGGAUUCUUUGGCAUGUUAUUAUGUCUCUGGUGCUCCCUUGUGCCUGCAUCACCAGGCCCUGCUCUGCUCUGCUUUAUCUGGCCCUUCACAGAGGUCUGCUCGAAAACCUGAAGGGCUUCUGGAAUCAAACCUCCGGGGAGACGAGAAUACAGAAACACUUUUUUUUUUCAUAAGACGGGUACAGAGAAAAAAGAAAAUCCUCAAACUGAAAUGAGGGAAUUCCACAAAUUACCGUUUGUCGCAAAGUAAUCCUGUUACUAUUGCAAAGAAUAUGAAACGGUGUAAACAUGGAAAUAAACUGCUAAUAUGGAUGUAGCUUACAAGCAGGGGCUCUGUUGAGUUGAGAUAUACAGCAGCAGACCCUGUUUCAGAUCACCAGUAAGGGAGAGUGCCACAAAAUUCAAAGUGGUUACAGAAAAUUUGCUUCUACAGGGAAGAGAUUUACAUUUUCAGAUGUUUUUUUUUCUUUAUUUUUUCUUUGAAUUAUUACAUUUCAGCUUCUUUUGGUCCAAACCUUUGCUAAC